GACGAACGCUGGCGGCGUGCUUAACACAUGCAAGUCGAGCGACGCUCUUCCUUCGGGGAGAUGACGGAGCGGCGAACGGGUGAGUAACACGUGGGCAACCUGCCCCUAGCUCUGGGACAACACCGGGAAACCGGUGCUAAUACCGGAUACGACAUCGAGCGGCAUCUCUCGAUGUGGAAAGUUUUUUCGGCUAGGGAUGGGCCCGCGGCCUAUCAGCUUGUUGGUGGGGUAAUGGCCCACCAAGGCGACGACGGGUAGCCGGCCUGAGAGGCGACCGGCCACACUGGGACUGAGACACGGCCCAGACUCCUACGGGAGGCAGCAGUGGGGAAUAUUGCGCAAUGGGCGAAAGCCUGACGCAGCGACGCCGCGUGAGGGAUGACGGCCUUCGGGUUGUAAACCUCUUUCAGCAGGGACGAAUUCAGACGGUACCUGCAGAAGAAGCACCGGCCAACUACGUG
rnacentral:rRNA from 1 species